rnacentral:rRNA from 1 species
UACGGGGGGGGCGAGCGUUGUUCGGAAUCACUGGGCGUAAAGGGCGCGUAGGCGGCCCGCACAAGUCUGCGGUGAAAACCCCCGGCUUAACCGGGGGCCGGCCGUGGAAACUGUCGGGCUGGAGGCUGGGAGAGGGCAGCGGAAUUCCCGGUGUAGCGGUGAAAUGCGUAGAGAUCGGGAGGAACACCGGCGGCGAAGGCGGCUGCCUGGACCAGUCCUGACGCUGAGGCGCGAAGGCUAGGGGAGCGAACGGG